UUAAUUGAAACCAAAUCUGAGGUAUAUUAUUGUUAAUAAUAUCAUUGAAAAAAAAUUCCAAUUAAAAAG
rnacentral:tRNA from 1 species